rnacentral:rRNA from 1 species
AUUGAACGCUGGCGGCAGGCCUAACACAUGCAAGUCUAACGAGUGGCGGACGGGUGAGUAAUUUCUGGGCAACUGCCCGAUGGAGGGGGCUAACUACUGGUAACGGUAGCUAAUACCGCCUUCCAUCGGAUGUGCCUAGAUGGGAUUAGCUAGUAGGUGGGGUAACGGCUCACCUAGGCGACGAUCCCUAGCUGGUUUGACGGGAUGACAAGCCACACUGGAACUGAGACACGGUCCAGACUCCGACGGGAGGCAGAAGUGGGGAAUAUUGCACAAUGGGCGCAAGCCUGAUGCAGCCAUGCCGCGUGUAUGAAGAAGGCCUUCGGGUUGUAAAGUACUUUCAGCGAGGAGGCGUUACUCGCAGAAGAAGCACCGGCUAACUCCGUGCCAGCAGCCGCGGUAAUAC